rnacentral:rRNA from 1 species
CCUACGGGGGGCAGCAGUCGGGAAUAUUGCGCAAUGGAGGAAACUCUGACGCAGUGACGCCGCGUGCAGGAAGAAGGUUUUCGGAUUGUAAACUGCUUUAGAUAGGGAAGAAAAAAAUGACAGUACCUAUAGAAUAAGCUCCGGCUAACUACGUGCCAGCAGCCGCGGUAAUACGUAGGGAGCGAGCGUUAUCCGGAUUUAUUGGGUGUAAAGGGUGCGUAGAUGGAUAAACAAGUUGGUUGUGAAAUCCCUCGGCUUAACUGAGGAAUUGCAACCAAAACUGUAGAUCUUGAGUACUGGAGGGG